rnacentral:lncRNA from 1 species
UAUUUUAUAUGAUGUUUGCGCUAUUUCAAACUUUUCUUAGAACAUGGUUUUUUUUACCCUAUGUUUUUUAAUUAUGAUUUGUCCAAAUCGGUAGUCGGUAUGCUAGUUUGCUCAUCGUAUUAUUAAACACGUAGUAAUCCUUAUCUCUCUUUCUCUUUGCAUGAAUUCUUCCGGAUGAGUUCAAUUGGACUCCCCAUAUCCCUGCAUUUGAACGUUGUCGAGUCGAGCCCCAUUAAAGUCCAAAAUCGAACUGAUAUACAUAGGAUAUCACAUGUAUAUGGACUGGUAUACAUUGAUAGAAAUUGUGUAUAUAUUGAAAAUCUCGUUUUUUUUACUUAUUCAUUAUUG